AAAUUCCAAUUCUCUUUUUUCUUCUCUUUUUUUAACCUUCCUCGCGUUGUUCCAAACAGAGCCUUAGCCCCUGGCCGGUGAUGUAAUUGGUUAAACCUUCCGUCACGGCGUCGCCGCCCUCUCCGGCCGUUCUGUUUACUCCACAUCUCCAUCACCAAUUCACAACCGAAAACACCAUCUUUUUUUUUUUCUUUUUCCAGGCUGCUCCAAAACCCACCCCUUUCUCUCUUCGCUUCCAGGAAGCUGCUUUUAGCUUUAUCUCUUGUAUCCGUACAUGCAAUCGACAAUUAAUCAAUGGCCGCGUCUUCUCUUCCGAAUGGGUUCUUGGUGCCACUUUCCAACAACUUAGACGAAGAAGCGUCAAUUCCCAAAUUACCGAUUUCCCAAAGCCCUAAAUCCGUCGGCCGCAAUUCUGUUCCGGUCUCCGAUAAGAGACUCAGCCGCAAACAUAUCUCUAUAUCGGCCUCCCGCGAUGGUUCCGCCGAUAUUAUUGUGGAGGGAACAAACCCCAUUGUUGUUAGAUCCCAGGGUCAGAGGAAGAAAGUUCUGUCUGGAGAAAAAGUGAAAAUUAUACAUGGUGAUAUUAUUGAGUUGAUACCUGGACAUCAUUUUUUUAAGUAUGCAAGUACGGCUGCUGAGAACAACUCAUCUUCAGUCAGAAAGAAGAGGGCUCCAAAUGAAAGUAGUGAACUUGUUGAAGGUGAGAGGGAAAAUGUGAAAAGGAAACGGCAAGUGUCUGAAGAUGAAGCUCUAGUGAGAAAUUUGCAGUCUGAGCUGUACAAUGAUAGCCUAGUGGAGGACAGCACUUUUGAAGCCAUCCGGCAGUUUAACGUUCCUAAGGAAAAGUUACCUUUAACUUUUCAACUUCUACGUGUGCAAGGACUUCCUGCAUGGGCAAAUACCUCUUCUGUUUCUAUUGCGGACGUGAUCAAGGGCAAUGUGCUUGUGGCUGUCCUUUCAAAUUACAUGGUGGACAUGGAUUGGUUAUUUUCUGCAUGUCCGGUGCUUAAAAAGGUCCCUCAUGUUUUGGUAAUUCAUGGGGAGAGUGAUGCCACUGUGGAGCAUAUGAAGAGAAUCAAGCCGAAAAAUUGGAUUUUGCACAAACCCCCAUUACCAAUUUCAUAUGGGACCCAUCAUUCAAAAGCCAUGAUUCUUGUCUAUCCUCGAGGUGUGAGAAUUAUUGUACAUACAGCAAACUUGAUUUAUGUUGACUGGAACAACAAAAGCCAAGGUCUGUGGAUGCAAGAUUUCCCUUGGAAGGAUCAGAAUAGUUCAAACAAAGGAUCUGAAUUUGAAACUGACCUGAUUGAUUAUCUCAGCACAUUGAAGUGGCCUGAAUUUAAUGUUAAUUUACCAGCUCUUGGCAACCUCAAUGUCAAUGCAUCCUUUUUCAAGAAGUUUGACUACAGCUGUGCAAUGGUUAGGUUGAUUGCAUCUGUCCCUGGAUAUCAUAAAGGUGCCAAUUUGAAAAAGUGGGGACAUAUGAAGUUACGUACCAUUCUCCAACAAUGCAUCUUUGACAAAAUGUUUCAAAAGUCCCCCCUCGUUUACCAGUUCUCCUCUCUUGGUUCUUUGGACGAGAAGUGGAUGUCCGAGCUAGCAUCAUCAAUGUCAUCAGGUGUCUCGGAAGACAAAAAGCCUCUGGGUUUAGGGGAGCCCUUAAUAGUAUGGCCUACUGUAGAAGAUGUGAGGUGUUCGUUAGAGGGCUACGGUGCUGGGAGUGCCAUCCCAAGCCCAUUAAAAAAUGUGGAGAAAGAAUUCUUAAAGAAGUAUUGGGCGAAGUGGAAGGCAAGCCAUACUGGUCGAUGUUGCGCAAUGCCUCAUAUAAAGACAUUUGCCCGUUAUAAUGGUCAAAACCUAGCGUGGCUCCUGCUAACUUCAGCAAACCUAAGCAAAGCUGCCUGGGGAGCACUCCAGAAAAACAAUUCACAGCUGAUGAUCCGUUCUUACGAGCUUGGAGUUCUCUUUAUACCUUCCCCUGUCAAAUCUGGUUGUGGAUUUUCUUGUACAGAGAACGGGGAUUCGGCAGAGGACAAAUGUGGAAAAUCAUUGGACUAUUCUGAAACGAAACGAACAAAGCUUGUGACUCUGGCUUGGCAAGGAAACAGUAACACAGAUUCCUCUGAAGUAAUCCGAUUGCCAGUGCCCUACGAGCUUCCUCCAAAACCAUAUUCUGCCAAAGAUGUCCCGUGGUCCUGGGACAGGCGAUAUCAGAAGAAGGAUGUCUUUGGUCAGGUUUGGCCAAGACAAGUUCAGCUAUACACUUCCCAAGAUGCUUAACCCUUCAGGGAUUUAGGGCUCUAGGCAAUGCAAACUGCGGACGGCCGGCCAUCCGGUAAUUGACCAUUUGAAAAUGACGUCGAAAAGCAGAGAUGAAAUGAAAGACCAAGUAAAUAAUUAAUUAAAUACAUAUUUUAUUUAACGCCGUUGAGACGCCGUAUACUAUUGCCGGAUUUCCAGAACAAACGGUCACCCUUCUCCGUACCUUAUCGGAAACUUCCCGUGUGGUCUAUGCUUGACAGCUCAGCCGUACACGUGUCACCACCAACUCCACCCAUUCAUUAGGUUUCUCCGCUGCCUCCCUCCUACAAAUACACCCCCCUUUCCCCUUCCUCUCCGCCAUUGCAAAAGAAGAAACCAAAAGCCACCUCUGAUACCACCUGCCUUCGACUCUUUCAUUCCGUCAAGAUGCAGAUCUUCGUCAAGACCCUGACCGGAAAAACCAUCACUUUGGAGGUGGAGAGCUCCGACACCAUCGACAACGUCAAGGCCAAGAUCCAGGACAAGGAGGGUAUCCCGCCGGACCAGCAGAGGCUGAUCUUCGCCGGUAAGCAGCUCGAAGACGGCCGAACCUUGGCCGACUACAACAUCCAAAAGGAGUCGACUCUCCACCUCGUCCUUCGUCUCCGCGGCGGCAUGCAGAUCUUCGUGAAGACCCUCACCGGAAAAACCAUCACCCUGGAGGUUGAAAGCUCC